rnacentral:rRNA from 1 species
CCGUGUGCUUACAAGUAGUCAGAGCCCGUUAAUGGGUGAUGGCGUGCCUUUUGUAGAAUGAACCGGCGAGUUACGAUUUGAUGCAAGGUUAAGCAGUAAAUGUGGAGCCGUAGCGAAAGCGAGUCUGAAUAGGGCGUUUAGUAUUUGGUCGUAGACCCGAAACCAGGUGAUCUACCCUUGGUCAGGUUGAAGUUCAGGUAACACUGAAUGGAGGACCGAACCGACUUACGUUGAAAAGUGAGCGGAUGAACUGAGGGUAGCGGAGAAAUUCCAAUCGAACCUGGAGAUAGCUGGUUCUCUCCGAAAUAGCUUUAGGGCUAGCCUCAAGUGAUGAUUAUUGGAGGUAGAGCACUGUUUGGACGAGGGGCCCCUCUCGGGUUACCGAAUUCAGACAAACUCCGAAUGCCAAUUAAUUUAACUUGGGAGUCAGAACAUGGGUGAUAAGGUCCGUGUUCGAAAGGGAAACAGCCCAGACCACCAGCUAAGGUCCCAAAAUAUAUGUUAAGUGGAAAAGGAUGUGGCGUUGCCCAGACAACUAGGAUGUUGGCUUAGAAGCAGCCAUCAUUUAAAGAGUGCGUAAUAGCUCACUAGUCGAGUGACACUGCGCCGAAAAUGUACCGGGGCUAAACAUAUUACCGAAGCUGUGGAUUGUCCUUUGGACAAUGGUAGGAGAGCGUUCUAAGGGCGUUGAAGCAUGAUCGUAAGGACAUGUGGAGCGCUUAGAAGUGAGAAUGCCGGUGUGAGUAGCGAAAGACGGGUGAGAAUCCCGUCCACCGAUUGACUAAGGUUUCCAGAGGAAGGCUCGUCCGCUCUGGGUUAGUCGGGUCCUAAGCUGAGGCCGACAGGCGUAGGCGAUGGAUAACAGGUUGAUAUUCCUGUACCACCUAUAAUCGUUUUAAUCGAUGGGGGGACGCAGUAGGAUAGGCGAAGCGUGCGAUUGGAUUGCACGUCUAAGCAGUAAGGCUGAGUAUUAGGCAAAUCCGGUACUCGUUAAGGCUGAGCUGUGAUGGGGAGAAGACAUUGAGUCUUCGAGUCGUUGAUUUCACACUGCCGAGAAAAGCCUCUAGAUAGAAAAUAGGUGCCCGUACCGCAAACCGACACAGGUAGUCAAGAUGAGAAUUCUAAGGUGAGCGAGCGAACUCUCGUUAAGGAACUCGGCAAAAUGACCCCGUAACUUCGGGAGAAGGGGUGCUCUUUAGGGUUAACGCCCAGAAGAGCCGCAGUGAAUAGGCCCAAGCGACUGUUUAUCAAAAACACAGGUCUCUGCUAAACCGUAAGGUGAUGUAUAGGGGCUGACGCCUGCCCGGUGCUGGAAGGUUAAGAGGAGUGGUUAGCUUCUGCGAAGCUACGAAUCGAAGCCCCAGUAAACGGCGGCCGUAACUAUAACGGUCCUAAGGUAGCGAAAUUCCUUGUCGGGUAAGUUCCGACCCGCACGAAAGGCGUAACGAUUUGGGCACUGUCUCAACGAGAGACUCGGUGAAAUCAUAGUACCUGUGAAGAUGCAGGUUACCCGCGACAGGACGGAAAGACCCCGUGGAGCUUUACUGUAGCCUGAUAUUGAAAUUCGGCACAGCUUGUACAGGAUAGGUAGGAGCCUUUGAAACGUGAGCGCUAGCUUACGUGGAGGCGCUGGUGGGAUACUACCCUAGCUGUGUUGGCUUUCUAACCCGCACCACUUAUCGUGGUGGGAGACAGUGUCAGGCGGGCAGUUUGACUGGGGCGGUCGCCUCCUAAAAGGUAACGGAGGCGCUCAAAGGUUCCCUCAGAAUGGUUGGAAAUCAUUCAUAGAGUGUAAAGGCAUAAGGGAGCUUGACUGCGAGACCUACAAGUCGAGCAGGGUCGAAAGACGGACUUAGUGAUCCGGUGGUUCCGCAUGGAAGGGCCAUCGCUCAACGGAUAAAAGCUACCCCGGGGAUAACAGGCUUAUCUCCCCCAAGAGUUCACAUCGACGGGGAGGUUUGGCACCUCGAUGUCGGCUCAUCGCAUCCUGGGGCUGUAGUCGGUCCCAAGGGUUGGGCUGUUCGCCCAUUAAAGCGGUACGCGAGCUGGGUUCAGAACGUCGUGAGACAGUUCGGUCCCUAUCCGUCGUGGGCGUAGGAAAUUUGAGAGGAGCUGUCCUUAGUACGAGAGGACCGGGAUGGACAUACCUCUGGUGUACCAGUUGUCGUGCCAACGGCAUAGCUGGGUAGCUAUGUGUGGACGGGAUAAGUGCUGAAAGCAUCUAAGCAUGAAGCCCCCCUCAAGAUGAGAUUUCCCAACUUCGGUUAUAAGAUCCCUCAAAGAUGAUGAGGUUAAUAGGUUCGAGGUGGAAGCAUGGUGACAUGUGGAGCUGACGAAUACUAAUCGAUCGAAGACUUAAUCAA